rnacentral:tRNA from 1 species
CUGGACAAGCCAAGGCACUGGGUGUUGGGCCUGCGCAAGCGGGGCUGCACACGGCAAGCCUGGCGACAACAGAAGAGGCAUUUCAAUUCAAGCGCCCACACUUAUCGGCUGUAGCUGUUGAGAGACAACAGUGAGUGGAACGUGAGCCGGCCCGAUGACCGAGCGCACAUGAGCGGCGCCGUACAGGCAGGCCCUGCGGUUCACGCAAGGACAAUGCGGGGGUCUGUAGCUCAGUCGGUUAGAGCACCGUCUUGAUAAGGCGGGGGUCGUUGGUUCGAAUCCAACCAGACCCACCACCGCGUGUUCGACGGGGGAUUAGCUCAGCUGGGAGAGCACCUGCUUUGCAAGCAGGGGGUCGUCGGUUCGAACCCGUCAUCCUCCACCACCCCAUCCACACAAGAGAGUGUCGAGCGUUCAUGCGAGCGUCCUUCAGGGCGUUGGCGUGAGCGAUUCGCAAGGAUCGGCUGUUGUUCUUUAACAAUUCGUAGAGUCGAAUCAGCGUUGUUGCUGGAAGCGCCGAACGAGAGUUCGAAGGGGCGCAUCCGUGCCAGCAACAACAUUUGAUUGCGUCACCAGACUUCAGCUUGAAGCGAUUCAAAGCUUGAAGGACGGCACAACGCGACAUACUCAUGACAUCGAUCGCAAGAUCGAUGCGUCCUUGACGGCGUGCACGACAGUGGACGUCAAAGUUAUAG